UGCGAGUCGAGAGUCUUAGGGACUCGACGUACUGCUCAGUAAUAUGUAGUUAACCUGCCCUAAAGUUGGGGAUAAUCCCGGGAAACUGGAGUUAAUACCCAAUAGGUGUUUCGGCCUGGAAUGGUGAAACACUCAAAGUUCCGAUGCUUUAGGAUGGAACUACAACUCAUCAGCCUGUUGGGGGUGUAAAGGACCCCCAAAGCUAUAACGGGUACGGGCCAUGGAAGUGUUAGCCCGGAGAUGGACUCUGAGACAUGAAUCCAGGUCCUACGGGACGCAGCAAGCGCGAAACCUUCGCAAUGCAUUAACGUGUGACGAGGGGAUCUGGAGUGCCAUAGCAUUGCUAUGGCUUUUGUUCACUUUAAAUAGGUGGGCGAAUAAGGGGUGGGUAAGACGAGUGCCAGCCGCCGCGGUAAUACUCGCGCCCCAAGUGGUAUCCAUGAUUAGUGGGUCUAAAGCGUCCGUAGCCGGUUUAAAAAGUCUUCUGUGAAAUCCCAUGGUAAACUAUGGGGCCUGCAGGGGAUACUCUUAAACUUGGGACCGGGAGAGGGCAGAGGUACUCAUGGGGGAGGGGUUAAAUCCUGUAAUCCUAUGGGGACCACCUGUGGCGAAGGCGUCUGCCUGGAACGGGUUCGACGGUGAGGGACGAAACCUAGGGGAGCAAACGGGAUUAGAUACCCCGGUAGUCCUAGGCGUAAACGAUGCCCGCUUGGUGUUACAAGCCUUUAGUGGGCUUGUAGUGCCGGAGUGUAGAUG
rnacentral:rRNA from 1 species